rnacentral:rRNA from 1 species
CCUGCGGAAGGAUCAUUACCGAGUUUUCGGGCUUCGGCUCGACUCUCCCACCCUUUGUGAACGUACCUCUGUUGCUUUGGCGGCUCCGGCCGCCAAAGGACCUCCAAACUCCAGUCAGUAAACGCAGACGUCUGAUAAACAAGUUAAUAAACUAAAACUUUCAACAACGGAUCUCUUGGUUCUGGCAUCGAUGAAGAACGCAGCGAAAUGCGAUAAGUAAUGUGAAUUGCAGAAUUCAGUGAAUCAUCGAAUCUUUGAACGCACAUUGCGCCCCUUGGUAUUCCGGGGGGCAUGCCUGUUCGAGCGUCAUUACAACCCUCAAGCUCUGCUUGGAAUUGGGCACCGUCCUCACUGCGGACGCGCCUCAAAGACCUCGGCGGUGGCUGUUCAGCCCUCAAGCGUAGUAGAAUACACCUCGCUUUGGAGUGGUUGGCGUCGCCCGCCGGACGAACCUUCUGAACUUUUCUCAAGGUUGACCUCGGAUCAGGUAGGGAUACCCGCUGAACUUAAGCAUAUCAAUAAGCGGAGG